rnacentral:ncRNA from 1 species
CAAGCCAGAAGAGGCGCGUCGCCCAGGCAGUGUGUUGGAGGAACCGAAUCCGCAGAAAACACAUCAUGGGGUGCGACGCCGAGGUACUCUCCCCGCGGAAGGGAGCGUAUCGACCGCAGGGGCUGAAUCCUCUGGGUUGUCACCAGCAUCGUUCGUAAACCGGGCGAUCAAUAUUUACCGUUUUGGCGCAGUUACAGGCGACGUCAGACCCGGUAGGUAUACAAGGUGGGGCGCUUCUGGGUGA